ACCAUCAUGGCUCCAUCAGAGCCUGUGUGGAAGUACCAGAAGAGGAGAACUGCUGCUCAGUUACUCUUGGCCCAAGAAUGCCCUUUUUUCCAGGAGAGAUGUCCUCUACUCCAGAGCAUAGCAGUUUUGCCUAAGGUGUAUAUGAAGCACCAAGGAAAGAAGGGGACAUUCAUGAUCCACAUAGCCAGCCAGGUCAUCCGGCUCCACCCUAGUGAUCAGUGGAGUGGUACAGGUUGUACUGAGUUCCUUCCCAUCCUCAUUAUUGCUUCAUCUCCUGGAUGUUCCUAGGGUCUUCAGCUCACUCUAAAGCAGUUCUGCUCCCCUGCUGAAGCAUCAGUUACAAAGUUGCUACAGUUGUUUGCUGCUGUAACCAUGAAGGCUCCAUGUUCUUGGUAUCUUGGUGGCCAUCUUUGUGGUGCUGCUGAUCACAGCUGUGCUUGCAGUCAUGUCUAACUAUCCUUUUGAUGUAGAAGGAUCUUGGCAGUGGCACCUCAUUCAUCUUUCAGAUGCUUGCCAUUGCUUUUUUUUUUUUUAAUGGCAGUGUUGAUGGGAAAAGCUUGCAUAUGCUCUCACCCAAGGUCUGACUGUGUGACAGCCCUCUCACCUCCACUGUCCAAAGUCAGCCACAUGGUUGACCCACAAUUAGAGUGUAAGGGCAGAUUUCAGCUACAAAGAAAAGGCCAUGGAGCAGAAAGCAGGCUAAGAGAAAAAUCAUAAAGUAUCGGGUAUCUGAAGACGUUGAGAAGAUGAUGUUUAUGUCACUUUGAAAAAUAUACCAGCCUGGUCUACAGAGUGAGUACCAGGACAGUCUGGUCUACAGAGUGAGUACCAGGACAGCCAGUGCUACACCGAGAAACCCUGUCUUGAAAAAAAGAAAAAAAAAAGAAACAUAUAUCAUCUGACAGGGAAAAAUAUGAAUUAUAUUUUGGAAGGUAGCUGCCACGCCACGCAUCAGUACAAAUUUGUGUACUGUGAAGCAAGGGAUGGAAAGAAGAGACUGGAUGACAUGAGGAGAUAGAGGGAAUGGGAAGAAAAAAGAAACAUGGGGAACACACUAUUCUCUGUAUCCAUCACCUGCUAAGUUUAAACUCCAACACCAAUGGGAGGCAGGAGACCUAUAGAAUUCACCAAUGCAGAAGGAAAACCCUAAAGACGGAACUCUCAACCACCCGGCUCUUAGUUCCCUUGUCUUCAUCGUCCCAUUUGUGAUACAGUGGGAGAAAGAGGGUUAGCCCAGAACAAGACAAAGAACAAAAGAAAAUGUCA